AGCAAAGGAUGCCCCAGAUAAAGCUGGCUUGAUGAGCCUGUGGGGUCAGAGCCUGUGGGCAGCAGGCAACUGAAGGCCUGGAAGAAGGAGGAACUGGUUCAGAAGAGCAGCUGCACUAUGGGCAGAGACACAGAGCCCUGCAGCCACACCAACUUCUGCAGCAGUGCCAACAGCACAACAAGCUCUCCCCUUCCAACCAGAAAUGUACAGCAGCUGAGGCAACCUGGCUGAAAAUUCAACUAACAACCAUGUCAGUGAAACCACACAGUCUGAAGAUUGGCCGGGACUCAAGCUAAGCAGAAAAAAAUAUUUUUUUUGUUUCUUCACAUUCUUUAGCUGGACUAAGAUGGGCCCAGCUAAGCCCUGAUGAUUACUUUAAUGGUGAUAUUUAAUAAUAAAAAUAAUUUGGUCCAACUUGGGCAAUGGAAGCCUAUCUGUAACAGAAAAAGAGAGAAUUUUAUAGAGACCAGCCCCUAAGAACCUAUAUCUACCAAAGGGAAUACAAUACAUAGUAAAAUAUAAUUUAGAAAUAGAUAUAUCAAGAAAUAGGUUGGAAAAAAUGGAUACACCCUUAAUUUUCUUUGAAAAGAAAUCACUGUUUUUGUUUUUAAAAAAAUCCUUGCUAACAAUGUAAGGAGAUAAAGUUUCACUUCUUGUCUGCAGUCUGUUUUUCUCAAAAGAUUACUGUCCUGAAAUAUUCAAUAAUGCAGAAUGGGAGAGUCUAAGAUAGAGAGAAAAAAAUUACCUUUUUUAAACAAAUUGUCAAAAUGCAGAGUUUAGUAAGAUGCAUCGCUGCUGCUGAUCUGGAUGGCUUUGAAAGGGGAUUAGAUAAAUCUCUGGAUAAAGAUAGUUGCACCUCAUUAUCCUAGUAAGUGCUAGCCUGAAAUUUUCAUAAUAUUAGUGUCACGCACCUGAAUCAGAAGUUCCAGGCAGUUCAAAUGAAUAUAAAGGUUUAUUGCAAGCUUAUGCUCUCUACAAGAAUCUGAACUACUAAUGGUCCAAGCAAAUUGGCAGUAGAUAAGAGUCAGUAGAAUUUAAGGUGGGAUGGACUUAGAUCUCUUGUGACUUGAGACUGAUGACAUGUUUGACCCCUCCCUCGGGCUCAGCCUGGUCAUCUCCUAUAAUUAGAGACUGUUUUUUCCUGAAAUUUAGAGCUAUGGAUAAUGAUGUAGUUUACCUUACUUUUAAAUGAAUGUUUAUUCACAUACAUAGACAUAGAGUUAAGAUUUAUCAUUGUCUACUCCCAAAGCAGUUAACAUUUUAAUCUUCUCUCUAUCUAUCCCACUCCAAUCCCAUACGUAAUUUCUUACACAAAAUUUAAAGCUUAUGUUGAAUAUCAGUUACUGAGAGGAGAGAAUGUGAAAGUCCUAGAAAAUUUAGUUAGCCACUAGGGUGGGGGACGACGACUGCUGAUCUAGGUAGGUUUUGUUCUGUUCAAAAAAGCUCUUCUCAUAUUCUGUCCCAUGAUGGGUACUUCACUUUUUAGUGAAAAAUCUGUUUUAUUAUAAAAGUAUUGAUUUACAAGAACAUUACCAUUCAAGAACACGUGAUAAUGUGUUAUGCACUCCUGGAAAUGUUAUCAGUCAAAAUUUGAGGGAAAAUAUAUGCAGAUUUAAGAUUGCCUCCAUAAAUUUUGAGACUUAUAAUUAAAAUAUCAAUUGAACACACAGAUAGAAUAAUUAAAGGCAAUGUAAUUAUCAUAAUGAAAUGCAUCAUGUUUGAUUUCAGAAAUGACAUGCAGAUUUACCAAUCCUCUCAUGUUUAGUUUUCCAGAGAACCUAUAUUUCUUUCUCCAUAACUCUGCAUCAUUCCUUGUGUUUCCUUUAGGCAGCAGUAUGUGCUUAAAUUUCAUCUUUUUUUUUAAAAAAAAAAAACUCUUUAUCUGCAUUUUUUAAUUGAACGAAUGAUUAUGUAUUAUAGGAAAAGCACUGGUUCGCAGAUUAAUCAUUCAUCUUACAGUAUUUCAAUAAGACAUGUAUCCCUCUAGGAGUCAGGAUGUUGAAGUAAGAAAAUAGAACUUCAACUUUUUCUUUUGAAUUUAAUCUGCCCCAAGUGGGGAGGAAAGAAUCCUCCUAACGGGUUGUUCUGCUCUACCAAAUUUUCAGGUGGCAGUCAAUCUCAGUUGGAUGAGGAAGUUAUCUGACCAUGCAAUGGACUAGCAGCAAUUUCCUCCUUUUCCAGAUUACAGCAUAACUGCUCUGAAGAGAAGAUAUGGUUCAAAAUAUGUCUACCUAUAUGUGAAGGACCAGAGUUUAUCUGUACAAAAUCAUGGCUUCCAUGAAGGUCCUGAACUCCAUAUCUGUUCCUUAUCUUUCCCUUAGGCCAUGGGAUUAAAGUAACUCAUCACCAAAGGACAUCUGAACUAAAUAUCAGCAAAGUGACAAGAGAGUUCCCAGUGGACAACAAGGCAGCCAGAAUAACAGAAGAAUGUCCAGCUUGUGUUGACAGUUCAAACCUAUAUUGAGCAAUGUUGACAGUUCAAUAUAGGUAUUUAUUUCUCCGACAUCAUGGGUGCAGGCCCUCAAUAACAAAUAAGAUAGAUCCCUCAGGCCUCGCAUUUAAUACAUCAAGAGUUGAGCAUUGAAAAUAGUCCUCAACUAUAAUAAACCUGGAGAAGUGAGAAGCGGAGUCAGCCUCCUCUGUUUAUAUUGAUAUCACUCCUACUACAACUGGGAGAACAGGCAGCAUCUCUAAUCCUUCCUCCAUGUCCUCCAAGAUCCAAGACUCUAGAAAAAGUGCAGAAAACAGCAACCAGGAUGAUUAGGAGACUGGAGACUAAAACAUAUGAAGAACGGUUACAGGAACUGGGCAUGGCUAAUCUAGUCUUCACUAGGACCAGGGGAGACAUGAUAGCCGUCUUCCAAUACUUGAGGGGCUGCCACAGAGAGGAAGGGGUCAAGCUAUUUUCUAAAGCACCUGUAGGCAAAACAAGGAAUAAUGGAUGGAAACUGAACAAUGAGAGAUUUAACCUGGAAAUAAGGAGAAAUUUUCUGACAGUGAGAACAAUCAACCAGUGGAACAAUGUCCCAAAUGUCUAAAUCUUGGAACUCAUUCCAUUGACAAAUCUGGCAGUGGAGAAGCCUGCUUUUCAAAUAGGAGUUGAAAUAGCAGAAAAAGGAAUGGAAAGAGGAGUUGAAAUUAAAGAUAGAGUUAAGCAAUCCAGAAGGGGAAGAAGUCAUGUCCUGUCCUGCCCUAAAAUGAAAAUAUUAGCUACCGAAAUUAAUGUUUCAAAGAUGUGGGAAAGUAAGCCCAAACUCUACAACAGAACAUCAACAGUAAAUGUAUAUAAUAAGGAUUUACAUUUGGGCAGAGCUCUUCGCACAAUGGAUUGCAGCUUCCACGAGAACAAUCUGAGCUUAUCCCCAGAAAGUAAAAAGUUUGGCAGACAUUGCAAGAAAGAUUGUGCUUGUAUAAGCUAGCCCUCCUCCUCUCUCCAUGUACCUAGCAACUCAGCUUCUAAACAAACUCUGGACAUCUCUUGACCCUGGUGUCCAGAUUGAAGCCUCUAUCCCAAGGGCAACAUAUGCCACAAGUAUGAUUUCUCCACCCCAUCUUUGAAAUCUGAUUCAAAGUCCCAAUGGAGAUCCAAAUGAGAUGCAGUUAACUCUCAGUUACUCCAGCGCAUUCUGCCAGUUAUCUGUGAUAACCUGAUUAAAUGUUAGCAAGGACAAUACUCUCUUAACUUCAAGUCUUCAGGUAUACCCCCAAAAGAAGGGUGAGGUAGGUUAAAAAAAAACCCACCUCUGAACAGGGUUAAUCAGCAAGAGGAAGAGCAAUAUCUCCAUUCUUCAACAUGACCAACACGUAUGUUAAAAGGGGUGCCAGAGCCUGAAUCUGCAGAGGAGGACAAGCUCGAGCUGGAGCUGACAGAGAUUGAGGGGGCAGCUUCGUUGGCUUCAGAGGAAUGUGGGAAGGAGCAAAAUGAGACAGGCCAGGGCCCCUCAGGUUUGGGGGGGCAGGAUGACCGAGAGAGAGCAAGCAGUGGAAAUGAGGAGCCAACAAACCUCAGGCAAUGAGCAAGGAUCCCCAAGCACGGAAAGUGGAGAGAAGGCGGGAACAGCACAGGCCAACCCGAUGACUCGGGAGGAGAGUGCCCGCUCCUCUUGACAAGGCACACCUGGGGACUGAGAUUUAAAGAGAUGCUGUGGGGAGGGGCGUUUGUUGGGAACAAAUGCCGAAUUGGUAGAGUUUUGUGUGCUGUUGCAGAUAUUUGGAGUUUGCAGGACUGCUUGCUUCUUCCUUGCUUCAUAGACUCAUUUCCCUAUUCCCUUGCUUUGCUGAACACUGCUAUGUUGGUGUGUGUGCGCUUUGCUCUAGGACUUGCCAAGAACAUGGGAGCAUUUGGAGGAAAUUUGGAGCAUUAAAAGGGAGUUUGAACUCUUGGCUGGCUGUGUGGCCUUCGUGCCUUGUCCUGGGUCAUCACAAUCCCUAGGGAAGAUUUCCAUAGAUCAUUUGUAGGUGCUCCAAUUCAGGAUCAGCCUCAAUUGCGCAGCACUGCACCAGACUCAUACUUCCCAAAAGAACUUUCCCCUCGUUGUCAUUUUUGAAUGCGAUCAAGGCAUGAGAUCAUGACUUUACUUGGGUUUUAGUUAAACUGAAGCAGAUGGACAGCCUAUAGAAGCUGAAGAUGAGAGAAUACAUUUGUUUCCACCCUACCCUAUGAGAAUAAUCUAAAGGGAAGGAUGAAUAUAGAUAGUUAUCAGCCUAAAGUGAGGGUGAUAAAUUGUCCUCAACUUACGGCCACAGUCGAACCCACAAUUUCCGUUGCUCAGCAAGGCAGUUAAGUGAAUUUAGCCCCAUUUUACGAUCUUUGUUGCCAUAGUUGUUAAGUGAAUCACUGUAGUUGUUAAGUUGGUAAUACAGUUUUUAGGCGAAGCUGGCUUCCCCAUUGACUUUGCUUGUCAGAAGGUCACAAAAGGUUAUUACAUGACCCUGGGACACUGCAACGAUCAUAAAUACAUUCCAGUUGCCAAGUGUCCAAAGUCUGAUCAUGUCACUCUGGGGAUGCUGCCACAGUUGUAAGUCUGAAAAUGGUCAGAAACUACUUUUUCAAUGCCUUUGUAACUAAAUCACUAAAUGAAUAGUUUUAAGUUGAGGGCUACUACUAUCUUUUCAGUCUCACCUCCCUAUUGGAAUGCCCACCAAAUUUCCUCUGAACAUUUUGCAAAUCCCAGGGAUAAAACUCAGCUAAACAAAUGCCAAUAAAAAGGUAGUGAAAAGCCUUCUUUCUUUUAUUGAGCAUGAUUUCCUCAACAUCAAAUAUGUGAGCUUCAAUCUUCAGAAUUCUCAGUUCUGGCCAGUUGGGGAAUUGUAGGAAGCCCAAGUUUGAAUACUGCCCUAAAGGAUAUGGUUGGAUACACUUACUCCAGGUACAAACAGUUGAUGGAAAAGUAAAACUGGGAGAUCUAGACAAGCCUCUGGUUGAGUGUCAGGAGCUAAACCAGAUCCCUUUCCCAAAAAGUUAAUUCCCUUUGUGAUACGCAAAGUUAAAAUAAAUAGGGGGAAAAAAACCUUCAAAAUCUAUGGAAGCAGAGACUUUUUGUCAGCAAAAAUAAGUAGCUGAUGUACAGAAAAAUCUUUAUGGUUUCCUUUUUAUUUGGUGGAAUUGGGCUUACAGAGAAAGAUAGGCUUUGAGGGACCAUUUCUGGUGGAAUUGAUGAUAUAUGAGAUUAAAUAAUGUUGAUUAUGAUACAAAAAUAAAAUCAGUUGGUGCUAAUUUAGGUAUUGCGCAUUCAUUUUAAUCUACAGCAUCUAACUUUCCAUCUUUUACAUUUGAAUUCUAUUAUUAUUAUUAUUAUUAUUAUUAUUAUUAUUAUUAUUAUUAUUAUUAUUAUUAUUAUUAUUAAAAAACAUGUUACAGUAUGUUUCCUUUCCAUGGAUGGAAUGUAUAUAGAGGAAAGGAAGCUUUCAAUCUGGAAUCUCAUAUUAUUUUAAACAAUUAAAAACAACAAAACCAUCCUGAGAACAUGCCCAAUCAGGACCACAAACCUCUCUCCCUUGUUAACUGAUAUUUUGCCUUCUAUAGUCUCUGAUAAAGAAAGUGCAUUUUUUUUUCAUUUUCACUGUUGUCUGUUCCGCUCUAUUCUGCAAAAGAUCCACCAUUUCGAGAUCAAGAUUAUUCAAGGUAAAACUCAUAUGUCUCUCUAAGUUGAGAUUCUAUAACAAUUUCAUAUAUGAAGAUUUAAAUAGUCAUUAUAAUUAGGCCUGUAAUAAGGCAAACAUCUUUAAAACAAUGCCUGUGACUUCUGUCUCACUAGAGUCAACACACUGGACAGCUAGAAUUGCUUCCCUCUCUAAUAUCUUCCUUUUUCAUCCCAAACUAUCCCAGUGUAUUGCCAGUAGGACUGAAGUUAAUUGUGUGUUUUGGAGUAACAAUUAAUUUACCAUAUGUCCGAUAGUAUGGAAAAUAGCCAUUGGAAGAAGAAGGUAAUUGAUUCCGGCUUAAUAUUUCUUCUAAGAGAAAGUUCUUGGAAUCACCAGAAUCUAUUGUGGAAUUAGUGGAUAAAAGGGUUUCAGUGAAAUCAAAAUUCUCAAGGCAUUGGCCAGUAUCUUCAUUUGCUAUACUGCUUUCCUGAAAGUCCUAAAAACAAAAAAUGGAUAAAUUGUCAAAAUGGGUUUUGUGUGAACUAACAAUUAGUUCCUAAAAUGUGUUUUAAAAUUAAAAUGGGACAGUCUUUCAAAACAUCUAUAGAAAGAGUAGGAUUACCAAACUAUAAGUUUCUAACCCAUGUUGGAAGAAGACUGCUCAAUUUUUUAAAUGAAUCAAAAGAAUUUGUGAUAGUUAUGAAAAUAUAAAAUACUGCAAUGACUGCCAAAUUUGAAAAUGAAGAAUUAUCUGUAAAAAUAAUUAAAUGCCUUAAUUCCAAUUCCCCAAGUGAAUAGAAAGUACACUUUCCAUAUUGGUAGUUUUCACUUUUUCUUUGAAAAAAGUAGAUGUAAUACAAUUUUGCAAUUUUGCUGGCUGUAAAUUCUAGAAUAAAUUUAAUAAUAAAUUUAGUUGCAACACAUCUUGAAGAUCACCACAUUGGGAGUUACUCCACUGGAUCAAAUAUAAAUAAGUUUUGCCAUUCUCGUGCAACUUACUGUAUUUGCAUAUUCAGUCUCAGCAUUAGAGACAGCUUCACUCCUUAUUUUUUCAUCACUGUUAGUGUUAGCCUCUUCAUUCUGCUCUCUACUUUUAAUUUCUUCAGAGGGAUUUGAGCUGGUCAAAUAUUCUUCAUAUGUUCGAUAAUAUGGGAAAUAUUCCGUGUCGAGCUCUCUUUCACUUGUGGAUUCUUCUUUGUGUUUUAACUUAAAAACACAGCAAUUGCUUUGAACUCUAUCUUCUCCCUCUGAGCUGUUCUGGUUCAUUUCUGAAUUUAGGCAGGAAGGGCUUUCCACAAGAUUGGUAUCGGUUCUAUAAUAAGGCAUGUAUUCAGAGCAGGUUGUUGGGUUGCACCUGACCACCAGAUCAUUAAAAUGUGUCAACUCGAUAUUGAAAUCCUCAGCAUCCUCUUCAAUUGACAGUGGUCGGGGUUUUGAAGUUUCUGGAUGAAUUAAUGUUGGAAGGCUUUCAUUUCUUUCCUGAAGACUGUGGACACCAUUCUAGAAGAUAUUGACAGAUGAAGACAAAAUUCUGUAAUGUAUUAUUUCGAAGUGUGAAGGAUGAUCAAUGGGAUGGGAAAUGAGUUUAGGUAUCACUUUCACCUUAGAACCCAUUGGGAGAUCUAGUUUAGUUUAAUGAUGAGUGCCUUCCUAUAAAUGCGGAAAUGACUUGGUUCACUGGUACGGAUGAAGGCUCCAACAUUAGUUGAUUGAAAAAUCAACUUUCCUCUAGCUUUUAUCAGGAAUCACAGAAUCUAGAAUGCUUUACUUGCAAUAUACUACAGAUGCAGUUAUUUCUCUUCAGUGGAAUCCUAAAUAUUCUAUUGGUUGGUAUCAAAUAUACUACCACAGGUAGUAUAUGAUGCUCUGGAGUAUAAGAUGUACAUUAGUUUUUGAGGAGGAAAACAAGAAAAAAAAAUCUGCCUCUGCCUACCAGCAUUCAUCAGUAUUCAUCUGGCUAGCAUCCUUGCAGCAAACAGCAAACAGCCUAGUCAGCUUCAGCACAUUAUUGCCGCCUAAUUUAGCACAAACAGCUGAUUUGACGAUUGGAUCAGCUUCCCAGAAUACCACCAAUCAGCUGUUCUAGGCUGCGGGGAUCACCAGAGCCCAUCGCUGCCUCCGUGCGUCACGUUUUUGGCCUCCGCUCAUCGCAUUUUUGGCCUUUGCAUGCUCCAUUUAGACCCGUUCCAGGCUGCAGGGAUCACCACAGCACAUCACCGUCCAUCACCACCUCUGCACAUUGCAUUUUCGGCCUUUACACAUGCGUUUUUGCCAUCACCAAUCCCCGCUGCCUGGAACCGACCAAAAAUGUGAUG